AUCGCUUCUCAGCCUUUUGGCUAAGAUCAAGUGUAGUAUCUAAUCUAUCUCAGUGGGGCUCUUAUACUGUCUUUUUUCAGUCAGGGACUCACUUUCUGUCACUCUCUGGCUCUCACAGAGCCAAGCCCAC
ensembl:snRNA U2 U2 spliceosomal RNA